CCCUUAUUGAAGUAGGAUACAUGACUACCUCUUCCGUUCAUCAGUUAGCCCCUUACUGAGGUAGGAUCCAGGCCUACCUCUUCUGUUCAUCAGUUAGCCCCUUAUUGAAGUAGGAUACAUGACUACCUCUUCCGUUCAUCAGUUAGCCCCUUAUUGAGGUAGGAUUCAGGCCUACCUCUUCCGUUCAUCAGUUAGCCCCUUACUGAGGUAGGAUCCAGGCCUACCUCUUCUGUUCAUCAGUUAGCCCCUUAUUGAAGUAGGAUACAUGACUACCUCUUCCGUUCAUCAGUUAGCCCCUUAUUGAGGUAGGAUACAAGACUACCUCUUCCGUUCAUCAGUUAGCCCCUUAUUGAGGUAGGAUCCAGGCCUACCUCUUCCGUUCAUCAGUUAGCCCCUAUUGAGGUAGGAUCCAGGCCUACCUCUUCCGUUCAUCAGUUAGCCCCUUAUUGAGGUAGGAUACAAGACUACCUCUUCCGUUCAUC
ensembl:lncRNA